GAAGGAUCAUUAUUGAAAUAAAACUCAGGCAGGGGGGAGUGUGGUUGUAGCUGGCCCCCUAAUAAGGGCAUGUGCACACUGUCUCUUUCUCUUGUUUGUUUUUUCAUUCUUUCCACUUGUGCACUGCUUGUAGGCAGCCUGGCAUUGUUCGGGUUGUCUAUGAUUUUAUUUUACAUACAUGAAUCAUUGUUGUACAGAAUGUGAUAAAAAAAKAWUAAUACAACUUUCAACAACGGAUCUCUUGGCUCUCGCAUCGAUGAAGAACGCAGCGAAAUGCGAUAAGUAAUGUGAAUUGCAGAAUUCAGUGAAUCAUCGAAUCUUUGAACGCAUCUUGCGCUCCUUGGUAUUCCGAGGAGCAUGCCUGUUUGAGUGUCAUUAAAUUCUGUCAAAACAUGCACUUGAGUGUGUUUUGGAUUGUGGGAGUGUCUGCUGGCUUUAUAUGAGUCAGCUCUCCUGAAAGACAUUAGCUUUGGAGGGAUGUGCCWAGUCACUUCUGCCUUUCCAUUGGUGUGAUAGAUGAAUAAACUUAUCUACGCCAGGAAAGCAGGUUGCAGGUGAUGCACUGUGAUCUCUCUGCUCUCUAAUUGACAUUUGUCUGAUAACUUGACCUCAAAUCAGGUAGGACUACCCGCUGAACUUAAG
rnacentral:rRNA from 1 species